CCCGUUCCUGGCCAACGAGGGCGCCGGCGGCCGAGGGCCGCUGCUGGCUGUCGGUUCGGUGCUGGCGAUCGAGCC
rnacentral:tRNA from 1 species